AACAGACCCCACCACUCUGCAGUCUGCCCCCCUGCGCACUGGUAGCAACCGUCAUAAUGCCCCGCCCAGCUAUCAUAAUGCCCCACCCAGCUUCCGGCACCUUUCGCCACUCCGGCACAAACCGACACAGCUUUGCGAUCUCGCCAGCAUGCAGAGUCUGAUGUCUUCCCUAUAGAUGAUUCCAGAGACUCUGUGAGGCCACUAUUACAAGGCAAGUUUGAAAAUCUUGGAAUUUCACAGUUUACAUGGUAUAACAAAUAUAUGUGACAGGCAAAAACUAGUAAACACUUUUAGCAGUUACAAGAACUAACACAUGAAUAUCCAACAAAAGGGAAUAGAAAUACAUUGUACUGCCAAUACUUUGGUUUAUUCUUUGUAUGACUUGAAAAUCAGGCUUUAGGGAAAACUAAAUGACAUGUUUCUAUCAUCAAUUACAUGAAGUAAACACACAAGCACUUGCAUACACAUUUAAGACAUGAGACACGCUAAUUCCAUCUCUUAAAAUGUGUCUAUAGGUGAGACGCUUUGCGUUGAUUGGUGCUACUGGACCACACUGGAGGUGCG
rnacentral:lncRNA from 1 species